GAGGACCGGCUCGCCACCAAAAAGCGUACCAGAAAAGAUGGCGGAUUUUGAGCUUUGCUGACGCCACAUGGUCCCCUUUGCCCAUGGUAAUUACCACUGACAUACCGCGAUACAAAGUCAAAAACGUGUCCAUCACCCUCCCGAUUUUUAUGAAAAUAUUUUCGGUUUUCGGUAUUGUUUUCGGCAUAUAUUUUCUCCGCAUUUCAUCUAAAAAGACUCUUUUUCCCUGUUCAACAAGUUAAAUGGAGAAGUGAUUUCUUGUGGAGUUCAACAACUUAAAUGGAGAAGUGAAUGGCCUAAUUCACCUAUCGGGAGAUUAAUUUUUACCUCAGAUGAAUUUAAAACAUUAAACAUGAUGACUGUGAUAAAGAUAAUAUAGAAUUUGGGGAUGGCUUUUUGCAAAUUACUGGAACUUUAAACUGUUAAUUUUACC